rnacentral:rRNA from 1 species
CCGUCUUUGGCCAGAGCUCAGUCAUACGUUUGCUUCGCUGCGAAGAGUCAGGUUGUUUGGGAAUGCAGCCUAAAAUGGGAGGUAGACUUCUCCUAAAGCUAAAUAUUGACGAAAGACCGAUAGCGAACAAGUACCGUGAGGGAAAGAUGAAAAGCACUUUGAAAAGAGGGUCAAAAAGUACGUGAAAUUGCUGAAAGGGAACCGUAUGAAAUCAGUCUGAUGUAUGGGUAAUCAGCCUGGGCUUUGGCCUGGGUGCACUUGCCCAUGUAUUAGCCUGCGACAGUUUGACUUGGGGGAAAAAAGGUGGGGGAAUGUGGCCUCGGCUUCGGUCGUGGUGUUAUAGCCCCUGUCAAAAUACCCUGGGUUGGACUGAGGACUGCAGCGAGCCGUAAGGCAAAAGGUCUCUGGCGCUUUGUCUGGGCAAAAAGUAAAUCUCUGCUUCGGGUGGUGUGCUUUUUGUUCGGGUGAACACGCUGGUUUCUCUUUUUUCUCGCUUAGGUCGUAGGCAUAAUGA